GGGAAGAUGGCUCAGUGGUAGAGUGCUUGCCUUGCAUGCAUGAGGCCCUGGGUUUGAUUCCUCAGCACCCCA
rnacentral:tRNA from 1 species